CCCUAGUAACUGCGAGUGAAGCGGGAAAAGCUCAAAUUUAAAAUCUGGCGGUCUCUGGCCGUCCGAGUUGUAAUCUAGAGAAGUGUUACCCGCGCUGGACCGUGUACAAGUCCCCUGGAAUGGGGCGUCAUAGAGGGUGAGAAUCCCGUCUCUGACACGGACUACCAGGGCUUUGUGGUAUGCUCUCAAAGAGUCGAGUUGUUUGGGAAUGCAGCUCAAAAUGGGUGGUAAAUUCCAUCUAAAGCUAAAUAUUGGCGAGAGACCGAUAGCGAACAAGUACCGUGAGGGAAAGAUGAAAAGAACUUUGGAAAGAGAGUUAAACAGUACGUGAAAUUGCUGAAAGGGAAACGCUUGAAGUCAGUCGCGUUGGCCGGGAAUCAGCCUCGCUUUUGUGUGGUGUACUUUCUGGUUGACGGGUCAGCAUCAAUUUUGACUGCUGGAAAAAGGCUUGGGGAAUGUGGCAGCUCCGGCUGUGUUAUAGCCCCUUGUCACAUACAGCGGUUGGGAUUGAGGAACUCAGCACGCCGCAAGGCCGGGUUUCGACCACGUUCGUGCUUAGGAUGCUGGCAUAAUGGCUUUAAGCGACCCGUCUUGAAACACGGACCAAGGAGUCUAACAUGCCUGCGAGUGUUUGGGUGGAAAACCCGAGCGCGUAAUGAAAGUGAAAGUUGAGAUCCCUGUCGUGGGGAGCAUCGACGCCCGGACCAGAACUUUUGGGACGGAUCCGCGGUAGAGCAUGUAUGUUGGGACCCGAAAGAUGGUGAACUAUGCCUGAAUAGGGUGAAGCCAGAGGAAACUCUGGUGGAGGCUCGUAGCGAUUCUGACGUGCAAAUCGAUCGUCAAAUUUGGGUAUAGGGGCGAAAGA
rnacentral:rRNA from 1 species